AUUGAACGCUGGCGGCAGGCUUAACACAUGCAAGUCGAGCGGGGGAAGGUAGCUUGCUACUGGACCUAGCGGCGGACGGGUGAGUAAUGCUUAGGAAUCUGCCUAUUAGUGGGGGACAACAUCUCGAAAGGGAUGCUAAUACCGCAUACGUCCUACGGGAGAAAGCAGGGGAUCUUCGGACCUUGCGCUAAUAGAUGAGCCUAAGUCGGAUUAGCUAGUUGGUGGGGUAAAGGCCUACCAAGGCGACGAUCUGUAGCGGGUCUGAGAGGAUGCUCCGCCACACUGGGACUGAGACACGGCCCAGACUCCUACGGGAGGCAGCAGUGGGGAAUAUUGGACAAUGGGGGGAACCCUGAUCCAGCCAUGCCGCGUGUGUGAAGAAGGCCUUAUGGUUGUAAAGCACUUGAAGCGAGGAGGAGGCUACUCUAGUUAAUACCUAGGGAUAGUGGACGUUACUCGCAGAAUAAGCACCGGCUAACUCUGUGCCAGCCGCCGCAGUAA
rnacentral:rRNA from 1 species